CAAAGAAUAGUUUAAUUUAGAAUCCCAGCUUUGGGAGUUGGGGGCGGGGGUUAAAUUCCCUCUUCUUUGA
rnacentral:tRNA from 1 species